UACAGAGGAUGCAAGCGUUAUCCGGAAUGAUUGGGCGUAAAGCGUCUGUAGGUGGCUUUUUAAGUCCGCCGUCAAAUCCCAGGGCUCAACUCUGGACAGGCGGUGGAAACUACCAAGCUGGAGUACGGUAGGGGCAGAGGGAAUUUCCGGUGGAGCGGUGAAAUGCGUAGAUAUCGGGAGGAAUACCAGUGGCGAAGGCGGCUUCCUGGCCUGUUCUUGACGCUGAGGCGCGAAAGCUAGGGUAGCAAACGGG
rnacentral:rRNA from 1 species